UACAGGGGGGGCAAGCGUUGUUCGGAAUUACUGGGCGUAAAGGGCUCGUAGGCGGCCAACUAAGUCACACGUGAAAUCCCCAGGCUUAACCUGGGAACUGCGUGUGAUACUGGAUGGCUUGAAUUCGGGAGAGGGAUGCAGAAUUCCAGGUGUAGCGGUGAAAUGCGUAGAUAUCUGGAGGAAUACCGGUGGCGAAGGCGGCAUCCUGGACCGACAUUGACGCUGAGGUACGAAAGCCAGGGGAGCAAACGGG
rnacentral:rRNA from 1 species